rnacentral:lncRNA from 13 species
GGUAUCAAUUCUAUUGCGAUUCAUCUGUCAGUGUAGACAUAUUUGAUUGGAUCCGUGGCAUACACACUACUCUGGCAGUGGAGGAACACAUAGGUGGCUAGAUAGAACCAAUACACGAAAUGAAAGGGUUCUCCUAUAUAGAUAUGUAAGUAGCUAGCCAUAGUAUUUCUAAUACAGCAGUAGCCCUGACAUUGCUAGCUAGCUUUAUAUAUAUAUAUAUUUUUUUUUAUUAUACAAAGUUAUUAGCAGUAUGUCAUCUCGCUAGCUAUUGGUACACACUCUUUUCACGCCACUUCGAUACAGCACAACCGGAAGUGAUUUUUGUAGCAGAUUACCCAACCUUUUUUCAAUCCGGGACCUUUGAGACGUCCCUACCUCAUUUGAAGUUAACACUUAAAAUGGGUUGGUGAAGGUCAGGGUAGGGGUUACCCACGGACCUUUCGCUAACUCUUUUCCUAACCUUAACCUGAAAUUCUCCUAACCUGCUACGAAAAAGUAACUUCCGGUCAUAGCUGUAUCGAAGCGGCGUGAAAAGUGUUUCUCAUACUGUGUUUUCCUGCCUUGGUUUUGCCAAUAAGUCUGAAGUUGUUGUAAAUUAAACUUGUUUCUUUCUGAUUCUCAUUCAUAAGAGAAAGAGUAACAUAACGGACUAAAGCCACAAAUUAUCAAUCUAAUGUUACAGCACACACACACAUAGCUAGUAUCUAGCAAGUUGACGUUGUCACACUACAGAAAAAGGCAUUUGAAUAAGAGGAUUACUGGCUACUUCUGUAUGUGUUCCAGGUUGUCAGGUACUGUUGAGGAGAGGAGCUCAGUGAUGAUGGAGACUGCAGCCCUGGUAGUGCCUGUCACUGCUCUGGAGUUCCUAAGGGAGGAGUACCUGCUGACAGAAAGACCUGUAAUUCAACUGUCUGUGCAGAGUGAGAGAAGACUCAUGGAAGGAAUCUAUUGAUGCCUGAAGGGAGUCGGGGCUGAUUGGUGAAGUAAUUUACUGUAAGCACAGUUGGACAGAAGGCAUUGUCUGCUGAGAGGUUAAAGUGACAAAGGAGGUGUGUGUGUGUGUAGUGGUGUGUGUGUGUGUGUGUGUAGUGGUGUGUGUGUGUAGUGGUGUGUGUGUGUGUGUAGUGGUGCGUGAGGGAUACCUCGGCACCCCCGAGGGAGGAGGAAAGACCCCCAAGUUGAGGACUAGCCCUCCACACCCACCAGAGAGGUACUUUAGUUAAGAUGGGUAACAUUGUUGUCAUGUGUUAUUAUGGACUAAAGUAAUGAACUGUGAUCUCUCUGCUCUGUCGUCACAGGUUAUAGGCACUAUGGUGUUACGGGAUCGGUUGCCUAUGAUUGGCUCCUCUGGAAGGAAACCAGCAGGUACUGUGAACCAACUAAGGUUUCCCACCACUUAAUUUAAUAGCGCUACUAUUUGAACCUGCUUCACUGUCUGUGUGUUGACUUCUGGUCCAUGACUGUUUAAAAGGCCAGCUCCUUCUCCUCUGGCUCUGCAUCCUCUCCUACUCCUUCUCAUAUCCUGUUUCAUCCCCUCUCAUCUCUGUUGGCUCUCAAGUGUUUGUUUUCCUCUGGCUUUGUUCUCUGUCAACAGACACUUGAUCCUGUCAACAGAGACACACAGGGCUUGAAAUAAUAAACAAUGCACUGUAAAGCUCACAACAACAGUUCUUGUGGUGAGAUGUUACCCCACUCUUCCACCAAGGCACCUGCAAGUUCCCGGACAUUUCUGGGGGGAAUGGACCUAGCCCUCACCCUCUAAUCCAACAGGUUCCAGGCGUGCUCAAUGGGAUUGAGAUCCGGGCUCUUCGCUGGCCAUGGCAGAACACUGACAUUCCUGUCUUGCAGGAAAUCAUACACAGAAUGAGCAGUAUUGCUGGUGGCAUUAUCAUGCUGGAGGGUCAUGCCAGGAUGAGCCUGCAGGAAGGGUACCACAUGAGGGAGGAGGACGUCUUCCCUGUAACGCACAGCGUUAAGAUUGCCUGCAAUGACAACAAGCUCAGCCUGAUGAUGCUGUGACAUCCCGCCCCAGACCAUGACGGACCCUCCACCUCCAAAUCGAUCCCGCUCCAGAGUACAGGCCUCGGUGGAACGCUCGUUCCUUCGACGAUAAACGCGAAUCCGACCAUCACCCCUGGUGAGACAAAACUGCAACUCGUCAGUGAAGAGCACUUUUUGCCAGUCCUGUCUGGUCCAGCGAUGGUGGGUUUGUGCCCAUAGGUAACGCUGUUGCCAGGGAUCUUGUACCUGU